CUCCCUCACGCGGAGAUGAGGAGAGAAGUUUGCCUGCGGCGCAGUCCACUCAACAUUUACUGUGUUUCAUUUGGAGAACAGCGACAAGAACCUCCGGAGAAGCUUUCCAGGGAAUGGCGAGGGAUAUCUGAGCGCACAGAAAGCACCGCUCACUCAGCUGACUUUUUCCUCCUUUUGUUAAUUUUUAUUUUAUUUUAUUUUUUUAAAUUUUACUAGUCAUUGAUGUAGCCAAAGUAGUGGGGAGCUCGGGUCAGUAGGACAGCGGCCGUACGCGGACUGUUUGUCUAUCUGUGGGUGCUGCUUUAAACAAAAUUCGAGUCCUGGAGAAGAAGAACGGAGCGAAACAGAAGCGAAAGACGCCCGAAGAAGAAGAAGAGGAGGAAGAAGAAGAAAAUAGCCCAAGUGAGCGUGAUAAAAGAGUCCGACUCAGAAUGAAUAGCAACAAAAUCGAGAAAGAAAACGAGCAGAGUGAAUUCACCAACCACGAAGAGGAGGUCCGAACGCUAUUUGUCAGUGGGCUACCACUGGAUAUUAAGCCGCGGGAGCUCUAUCUCCUGUUCAGACCAUUUAAGGGCUAUGAAGGCUCCUUGAUAAAACUCACUUCUAAACAGCCAGUGGGGUUUGUCAGCUUUGACAGUCGAUCAGAGGCGGAGGCUGCUAAGAAUGCCUUGAACGGGGUCCGGUUUGAUCCAGAGAUCCCCCAGACCCUGCGACUGGAGUUUGCCAAGGCCAACACCAAGAUGGCCAAGAACAAGCUGGUUGGCACCCCCAACCCCCCUCCCUCCCAGCAGAGCCCCGGGCCACAAUUCAUCGGCAGAGACCCAUAUGAGCUCACAGUGCCUGCUCUAUAUCCCAGCAGCCCAGACGUGUGGGCGUCAUACCCGCUGUACCCGGCGGAGCUGUCGCCGGCCCUCCCACCCGCUUUCACCUACCCUUCCUCGCUCCACGCUCAGAUUCGUUGGCUCCCACCUGCAGAUGGAACUCCUCAGGGAUGGAAGUCCAGGCAGUUCUGCUGAAGUAUGUGUUCCUGAUGUGUGAUGGUGGCCGUGGCCGGCUGUGACGGGCGUUGCUGAUUGCCUCUCGUGUCCUAUUAGAAACCAGGAGGACUGACCUGUCUCUGGAACUCGGAGCAGCGUACCGUCGGCAGCAGCAGCCUCCUCAUGGGCCUCAGGACAUACUAGACCCCAGCCUCCAUCACACAUCGAGCACCCCCACCCUCCCCAGAGUCCUUCCAACUCUUUUUUUUUAUACUGUUACAUACUCAAGAUUUACUGACUGGCAGCGCUUUGGCUACACCUCCUCCGACACCUCCGUGAAAGGUACCAGGCAUGCACGACAAAGGCGCGCACACACACACACACACCCUUUGUGCAUCGCCUGUCUAAACAUUAGCAGGUCUUUUGCUGUGCAUUCUGUAUAUGCAAGUGUAAAGACAGUCCAUCAAAGGAGUGAAAACACAAUUUAUGCAGAAUCUUUGCCAGCCAGAUGUAUGGAAGCGUGGCUAAAGUGCUGCCGGGUAAUGUUAUUAUAUGACUAUAAUUAUUACUAUUCUGUAUAUCAUUCAUAUUAAUGUUAUUAUGAUUAUUAAAUACAUGUUGAAGCAUGACUUUGCAAAAAAAAAAAAGAAAAAAACACAAUGCUGUACAUUUUUAGAUAUUUUAAAGAAAUACAAAAAAGUAUUUUUGUAAUCAAGACGAUGUUUGAAAUAGUUCUUUUUGAUUGGUUCAUGUGCUAAAGUGUGUGAGGAUCUUUGGUAAGUUUUUUUUGUUUGUUUUGUUUGUUUGUUUUUUUUUGCCCUUGCUGUUUUCUGCCAUUAUAAAAUGGCAGUUCGCCCUGCUAUACCAAAGCAGUCUUGUUGGUUUGCUCUUGUCUGUUCUACAUACUGUGUGGAUUUGGGUUUGCUGGCGUGUGUCUUUGCGUGGCGUCUUUACCCGACGAAGCAAACAUACUGGUCCUUUGUCUGAUGCGCUUUGGUUCAAACUAAGCAGUCAGUGUGAGUGAGACAAAUGCACCUGAUCCUGCUCGUGAUGUUGCAGUUUCAGCUGUGUUGUGUGUUUCAGCAACCAGGUGUGUUGAAAGAGGCGCUGACAGGAAUAAGCCAUCACUGGUGAAGGUAGAGUGACCCCCGGAGACUGCAAAACAUGGCAAACUGAGCCCAGCUAUAAUAAGGAAUUUGCUCCUUCUUUGUGUAGCAGGAGGACAGCAGCACAGUAUAGAGAAACAAAAGACCAAAGGCAUUUUUUUUUUUUUUUACACUGGAGAGCUAUCUAGGCGAGUGGAGUUAUUCCAUUUUUGACUGCUUUGUAGUCCUCAAUCUGAUUUCUUAUGAAGUAUGACAUUAUUUUUGCUGCAUGUCUCUUUUGGUGUCACUCCAAAGAGCCACUUUGCAUCUGAAAGGACAUUCACUUUAAGCAAUUUGUCUUUUUGUCUAUUUUUAUGGAGCCACCGUGAUUCAACCUGCUUUUUUUAAAUUCUGAAUUUACAUAGUAAUGAUUGGAGUGUAAAAAAAAAACCCAAAAUCUUUUGUAAUCUUGUGUAUUCUGGGCCUGCAAUAACGUCUUUGCUGUUUGACAUAUCAUCAAGUGAUAUUUCUGGUAUGGUACUUCAAGAUAUUUCUGUGACAUCUUGACGCCAACAUUCUGAUUCAUGUCGUGUUCUUACAAAAACAAACAGCAAUUCUUGUACUUUUCUGAUAAGGCUAAGUCACAUUCGGCAGUGAUGUGACAAUCAAAAACUGAAGAAAAACAAUCUUCCCCUCUAAUGUUUAUCCCAGGUGUGUACAAUCAUGUUGGAGUGAUUGAAUCAUAUAUUCAGUGUUUGUAAUGAAUAAUAAUGAUAUGCACAUAAUAUCAACUGAUUUUUCUGAAGCAGUUUUUGCUUUUACAGAUGUUUUGGUUUUUUUUUGGUUUUUUUUUAAGCCAAGUGUGGCACCAAAUUUAUUAGAACAAGUAUUUAUAAGGUGUGUGUGUGCGUGUGUGUUUUUAUGGGUAUUAUGUUUUUAAAGUUCAUAGAAGAUGCCCAUCAUAUAAUUCAUUGUAAGUAUUAUUGUAAGUUUAAUUGUAUAUUCAUUUGGUAAUUUUCUAGAGCUUCUUUUUGUGUUUGUAUCUGAUAUAUGAAUACUGUUUUACCUACAUAAUUCACUGUGAAAUCCAGAGGAGAAACUCUUGGAACGAAUGGAUCUCUAUGUGUUUUGCCAGCAGUACGGUACAGAAGUUCCUGCAAAUUUAAUAUGAUGAUCCCUCCAUUUGUCAACGAGAAAUCCUCCUUUCUCGUUUCACUUAUACCAUGUGCGUACCUGUGUGUUCUGUGCAUGUUCAUGGCAUGUGUGUGUUCUUUUUUUCUUUUUCCUAAUGCAUACAGUACUGUUAAUAUUUAUGUACUUUAGCCGCUGUAAGGAGAAAGUGUAUUUCAGUGAAUUGCAGAGGUUUGUCUGUUUGAAACCAAAAAAAAAACAAAAAACAAUAAGGUGAUCAAAAUGAGAUGUUUUUAUGAAAAUGUUAAAUGAAGACAUUUCAGGCCAUCUGCCAUUAAAGAUUGACGUUA